GUCCGUGUAGCUCAGUGGAUAGAGCGACUCUCUAACGCAGGGUUAGGUCGUGGGUUCGAAUCCCACCACGGGCA
rnacentral:tRNA from 2 species